rnacentral:rRNA from 1 species
UUUCGGUGAAUACGUUCCCGGGCCUUGUACACACCGCCCGUCAAACAAUGGAAGUUGGGAGUAUCUAAAGUCGAUUAACCGCAAGGAGUCGCCUAGGGUAAAACCAGUAACUGGUGUUAAGUCGUAAACAAGGUACC